GCUUAUCACCAUUCCAGAUUGAAUAUACCCGAUCUCGUCUGAUCUCGGAAGUCAAGCAAUCUCGGGCUUGGUUAGUACUUGGAUGGGUGACCGCUUGGGAAUCCCCAGCUGCGUUAAGCA
rfam:Ciona savignyi cont_64338, whole genome shotgun sequence.